rnacentral:rRNA from 1 species
GAUGAACGCUGGCGGCGUGCUUAACACAUGCAAGUCGAACGGUGAACGAGGGAGCUUGCUCCCUCCGGAUCAGUGGCGGACGGGUGAGUAACACGUGGGCAACCUGCCCCUCACUCUGGGAUAACUCCGGGAAACCGGGGCUAAUACCGGAUACGACCGGGAGCGACAUCGCUCCUGGUGGAAAGAACUUCGGUGAGGGAUGGGCCCGCGGCCUAUCAGCUAGUUGGUGGGGUAACGGCCCACCAAGGCGACGACGGGUAGCCGGCCUGAGAGGGCGACCGGCCACACUGGGACUGAGACACGGCCCAGACUCCUACGGGAGGCAGCAGUGGGGAAUAUUGCGCAAUGGGCGAAAGCCUGACGCAGCGACGCAGCGUGAGGGACGAAGGCCUUCGGGUUGUAAACCUCUUUCAGCGGGGACGAAGCGAAAGUGACGGUACCCGCAGAAGAAGCACCGGCUAACUACGUGCCAGCAGCCGCCGUAAUAC